GAGAGAUGCUAUGAAAAGAAAUGCGAGUCAAUAUUGUGCUAAGAUUAUAGCUAAGUUAGAGAAGUCUAAAGAAUUCUGCUGGAUGUUCAGAACAGAGUGGUCAGGGGGGGAUAGGUUUCAGGUGGUUGGUCCUGGGGGGUAGUUUGUGGUUGACAUUAAGGAGAGAACAUGUACUUGUAGGAGGUUUGAUUUAACUGGCAUACCAUGCUGCCAUGCAGUGUGUGGAAUCUGGUACAAGCAUGAUAAUCCUGAGAAUUAUCUAGAUUAUUAUUACAAGGUCAAUACUUAUUUAAAAACAUACAGCCACUUGCUAAACCCUACUACUAGCUAUGAAUUUUGGCUAAGAGCCAUAGCACCACCUAUGCUACCUCCUGCUCCAGUUCAACCAAAACAGAGAGGCAGAUCUAUUACAAAGAGGAGAUUAGAAGAAGAUGAGAUGAUAGCUUUACUACAAAAGGGCAAAGUAAGCAAAAAAGGCUCAGUGAUGACUUGCACCAUUUGUGGAGCUAAAGGCCACAAUAAGAGAUACCAUGGUCAUGGCAAAUCUAGAUCAUAAUAGCCUAGGAUGAAAAUAUUACAAGUCAAAAGAAGAGCAAACCAGAUAGACAGUAGCUGUAACCAAGAAGUUCCUCAUGAUGAGAUUGAUCAACUCCAUAAUGACCAACUCCCUAAUGACCCUACUGACCAACUCCCCAAUGCCCAAUACUUAGAAAAUGAUCCAAUUGGGACUGCACAGGUGCAAAACAUAACUCCUUCACUGUCAAGCCAAAUUUAGUUUAACAUACCUGGUCAUCUAGUAGAUCUAGAUGACUUUAAUCUUCAUUGGAAAAAUUUGUCCCAAACUGUUGCAGGAACACAAAGACCUCAUCAAAAUACAAGAAGCAUCAAUGAGUUGCUAAGUGAUAUUCCAACUCAAUCAAGUGGGUUGAAUGAAGACUCGCAACAGAGUAAUAUGAAGAAGGGCAAGGGCAAGACAGUGAAGAACAAGGGCAACAAGUCAUUUCUGCCUCCUAGAUCUGCAUCUCUUUCCACAGCAUCAAAGAAAGCUUAUGGAUCUAAUCCUACUCCAAAUAAAAGUUUGGGAAAGGGGAAAGAUAAGGUGCAAGCAACAACUCAAAAGGCUAAGGAAAGGAAAUAUUGAAACUGCAACCUCAAACAAGAAGAAGCCUCGGAUGCCUGCAGGUCUUGGAGACAACAGCAAGCCUUAGCUUGGCAUUAUGAUUGUUUAAUACAUUAGGAACUUGUUUAUAUGUAGGAACUUUUUUUUUUUUUUGCUUUUAGGACUAAAGAUGCUUUUGUGGUCCUCUAGAACAGAUUUCACAUGCUUGUUUAUUAUGCUCAGUGUCAACACUGUUUUUUGAUCAAGACCACAAAAUCAUUUAAUUAUAUUGUCAUGUUCUUGUGUUCCACACUUAAUACAAGUUGCUAUUUUGCAAUUACUUAAAGUGUAAUACUUAAUACUUUUGCAACACCACCACUUCAGCAUUUGUAUUUUAAGAAUCAUUUACAUAUAUAAAUAGAAAUAAAUAUUUCUUUUAUUGAUUUAAUAGCACGUUCUACAAUAAGAAAUCAUUGUAGUUGUACACUACAACUGUGAAAGAGGUGCUACAAAACAAACUACCAACACUAACAAAAGGUGCUACAAAAUCAGUCAGUAUACACAAACACUAACAACACCUCUCCUAUACACAAACAGCUAACAAAAUGUGC